rnacentral:rRNA from 1 species
CUUAUCGUUCAUACCGUACCCGUACCGUAAACCGACACAGGUGGAUGAGGAGAGAAUCCUAAGGCCGGCGGAAGAAGCAUUGUCAAGGAACUCGGCAAAAUGGCCCCGUAACUUAGGGAUAAGGGGUGCCUGGGAAACCAGGCCGCAGAGAAUAGGCUCAAGCAACUGUUUAGCAAAAACACAGGUCUAUGCGAAACCGAAAGGUGAGGUAUAUGGGCUGACGCCUGCCCGGUGCUGGAAGGUUAAGAGGAGAGGUUAGCGGUAACGCGAAGCUUUGAAUUUAAGCCCCAGUAAACGGCGGCCGUAGCGAUAACGGUCCUAAGGUAGCGAAAUUCCUUGUCGGGUAAGUUCCGACCCGCACGAAAGGCGUAAUGAUUUGAGCGCUGUCUCGACAAUGCAUCCGGUGAAAUUGAAGUACCAGUGAAGAUGCUGGUUACCUGCGCCAGGACGGAAAGACCCCAUGGAGCUUUACUCCAGUCUGGUACUGGGACUCGGUAUUGCAUGUACAGGAUAGGUGGGAGGCUAGGAGAUGGUAACGCCAGUUGCCAUGGAGCCGCUGUUGGGAUACCACCCUUGCAGUAUUGGGUUUCUAACCAGCCGCCGUGACCCGGCGGUGGGACAAUGCCAGACGGGGAGUUUGACUGGGGCGGUCGCCUCCGAAAGGGUAUCGGAGGCGCCCAAAGGUUCCCUCAGAAUGGACGGAAACCAUUCGAAGAGUGCAAAGGCAGAAGGGAGCUUGACUGCGACACCGACGGGUGGAGCAGGUACGAAAGUAGGGCUUAGUGAUCCGGUGGUAUUAAGUGGGAAUGCCAUCGCUCAACGGAUAAAAGCUACCCUGGGAUAACAGGCUUAUCACUCCCAAGAGUUCACAUCGACGGAGUGGUUUGGCGCCUCGAUGUCGGCUCAUCGCAUCCUGGGGCUGUAGUAGGUCCCAAGGGUUGGGCUGUUCGCCCAUUAAAGCGGUACGCGAGCUGGGUUCAGAACGUCGUGAGACAGUUCGGUCCCUAUCCGGCGUGGGCGUAGGAUAUCUGAGAGGAGCUGUCCUUAGUACGAGAGGACCGGGAUGGACGGGCCGCUGGUGCAUCGGUUAGACUGCCAAGUCUACGGCCGAGUAGCCAAGCCCGGAAGGGAUAAACGCUGAAGGCAUCUAAGCGUGAAGCCCCCCUUAAGAUGAGAUAUCCCAUUCGUUAAGAAGUAAACCCCCUUGAAGACGACGAGGUAGAUAGGGCAGAGGUGGAAGUGCAGCAAUGCAUGGAGCUGACUGUUACUAAUCGGGUGAGGGCUUGACC